rnacentral:rRNA from 1 species
CCUACGGGAGGCAGCAGUAGGGAAUAUUGCUCAAUGGGGGAAACCCUGAAGCAGCAACGCCGCGUGGAGGAUGAAGGUUUUCGGAUUGUAAACUCCUUUUGUUAGAGAAGAUAAUGACGGUAUCUAACGAAUAAGCACCGGCUACCUCCGUGCCACCAGCCGCGGUAAUACGGGGGGGGCAGUCGUUACCCGGAAUCACUGGGGGUAAAGAGGGCUGAGGCGGGAUGGCAAGUCAGAUGUGAAAUCCUAUGGCUUAACCAUAGAACAGCAUUGGAAACUGUUAUUCUAGAGUAUGGGAGAGGUAGGUGGAAUUCUUGGUGUAGGGGUAAAAUCCGUAGAGAUCAAGAGGAAUACUCAUUGCGAAGGCGACCUGCUAGAACAUAACUGACGCUGAUGCGCGAAAGCGUGGGGAGCAAACAGGAUUAGAUACCCUUGUAGUC